rnacentral:rRNA from 1 species
UAGGGAAUCUUCGGCAAUGGACGAAAGUCUGACCGAGCAACGCCGCGUGAGUGAAGAAGGUUUUCGGAUCGUAAAACUCUGUUGUUAGAGAAGAACGUUGCAUAGAGUGGAAAAUUAUGCAAGUGACGGUAUCUAACCAGAAAGGGACGGCUAACUACGUGCCAGCAGCCGCGGUAAUACGUAGGUCCCGAGCGUUGUCCGGAUUUAUUGGGCGUAAAGCGAGCGCAGGUGGUUUAAUAAGUCUGAUGUAAAAGGCAGUGGCUCAACCAUUGUGUGCAUUGGAAACUGUUAGACUUGAGUGCAGUAGAGGAGAGUGGAAUUCCAUGUGUAGCGGUGAAAUGCGUAGAUAUAUGGAGGAACACCGGUGGCGAAAGCGGCUCUCUGGACUGUCACUGACACUGAGGCUCGAAAGCGUGGGUAGCAAACAGGAUUAGAUACCCUGGUAGUCCACGCCGU